GGGGAACCGGAACGCGAAGGAGCUUGGGGGAGCCUAAGCCAGGAGGGACGUGGCGCUCUGCGACGCGGGCGGGGAAGCCGCGCCCCUUCCUUCUCUAGCUUUCAUGGAGAAGCCUGCGAAGCUGGAAUUUGGGAUCCCAUAGAGCAUCAACUGGCCAAGUUCUUCAUUGUCUUCAGAAGAAGAGAGAGGGAGGCAGGGGAGUAUUUACUGACAAGAGACAAUGAACAAAUCAACAUUUUUAGAAAUAAGAUACCCUCAAAAGCUCCACAUUGCCAGUCCCUUAUUUCAGCAAACUCAAGUCUGAAUAUAGCUUGUAAGUAGCCUUUGGUUCAAAUUUAGCCUCACCUGUCGCAGGAGUGAUAUUAUCAUGCUAGCCACCAGUUCACACUCUACCAGAUAAGCUGCGGUCUCCUAGUUCCCAAGCAGUCACCUGCCACCAUCUCUUCACUUCCCUCUUGCCGUCUCUUCCCACUUAGCCAACCUGUUUUGCUUCAACUUUCCCUGCUUUGCCUUGGGCUUCCCCAGGACCUGUGAUCAAGCACCCUUUUCCCUCUCUCUCAGCUUCAGUCUACCUCAGACAGGAUACCUGGACUAGAGAGGAAAUUUGUCCCAUCUCCUCUCCCAUCCCCAUUUGGGACACAUUAUUGUC
rnacentral:lncRNA from 1 species